AUAUGGGUAUCACUUUUUGCAUCCGCCAUGAAGUUGGUAUAUUCCCUGAUAAUAGAAUUUCAUUAACUAAUUUCAGGUAAUACUGUAAAAUUUCGUCGUUUGCAUGUUCAAAGAAACUAUAAGGAAUACCAUCCAGUCCGGGAGAAGAGUCUUUUAAAUUUUUUACUACCCCUUUAAGUUCGUCCAGAGUAAAAAGAGAGUUAAGGUCCUCAAAAUUUUCGUUUAGCAUUGGAGAUGGAGAUAGACAGGAAACUGAAGGAGGAGCUAAGUUAUCUAGAAAGUUACUAGACAGAGAUUCAGGCAUGGGAUAGAAGGAAGGUUUAAAUACUGAUCUAUACCGUCUUAUGUUAUUCCAGACUGUGGUAGGGUGUACAUCCGGACUUAGAAAUAGACAAAAUUUUCUCCAGCUUGUUACCUUUUUUGUCCUGAAUAGUUUUUUUGUUUCUCUAACACAAUCAAGGUAAUGCUGAUAGUUAAUUAUAUUUGGGUUUCUAUUAUACUGUUUUUCACUUUCUUUCCUGUUCCUAAUAGCAACUGUGCAUUCUUGAUCCCACCAAGGUGGAGAUGGUGGAUGAAUAGAUGAUAAAUUCUUUUUUGGAAAAGUGUCAUCAGCUGCCUUAAUGAAUGCCUUGGCCAAGGCAUCUGCACAAAUAGAUGUAUUUUCUGAUUUUAUGUCAGGGAGGAAUGGCAACUGAUUUGAAAGUAAAUCUAUAAAUUUAUCCCAAUCUGAAUUAUUGUUUAAAUUGUAUUUUUUUGAGGACUGAUUAUGAUAAGGCGAUUUAUUACUGUUUCUACCUGGAAAUGAUAUAAUGAUGGGAAAAUGAUCACUACCGUGACUUGAUUCUAAAACACUCCAGUAAAAAGUAGAUGAAAGAUUAGGUGAACAAAUGGAUAAAUCAGGAGCACUGCAACCUUCAUGAGGAGCAGUAUGACGGGUUGGAUGGCCGGAAUUAAGAAUGCACAGUUGGUGAUAAUCUACCAAGUCCAGCAAUACAUUGCCCCAUGAGUUGUUUUUAUGACUACCCCAUGCUUGAUGUUGUGCAUUUAAAUCUCCAAGUAUUACUAUUGGUUUGGAUGCAGCAAUGAUUGAGAAAUCUGAGUGAUGUGGAGGGAGAGAAAUAUGAUGAAAUGAUUGAUGAUGUUUGAUGAGCAAGGCUGUACCACUAUGCCCAUCAGAUCUAUCUUCCCUAAGACAGGAAUAUCCGGAAAUCUUAAAAUGAGAUUCCGGUUUUAGCCAUGUCUCUUGUGCUGUCAAAGUAUUGGAUGAUAUAAGUACAUCUGAAUAUAAUUUAGAGACAGUUGGAUGAAGUUUAGAGGCUUCAGAAUACGACAAGCAAUUAUGAGCCAUCGACUCUUUUAUGGACUUUUGUCGUUGAUAUUCAGGACACUUUUUGUCUGUAGCAAUAUGUGAACCAUGGCAAAUACAGCAGUACAUGGAAUCCUCCUCAACUGAGCAGUUUUCUCCAGCAUGACCUUGACCACACCUGUAACACCUAGGUGUGGAUCGACAUUGACUUUUUACAUGACCAUAUCUGCAGCAGUUAUAACAUUGUAUGGUAGGGAAUAUAUACAGAUCUACAGGCAGAGCAUUGUAGCACAUAAACACCCUUUUGGGUAAUACUUGUCCAUCAAAAGUUAUUACGACCGACUCCGUAUUAUUAAAUUGAGUUGUUCCAUUGA